rnacentral:rRNA from 1 species
UACGGAGGGAGCUAGCGUUGUUCGGAAUUACUGGGCGUAAAGUGUGCGCAGGCGGCGCCGCAAGUCGAGUGUGAAAGCCCCGGGCUUAACUUGGGAAUUGCGCUCGAAACUAUGGUGCUGGAGUGUGGCAGAGGAAGGUGGAAUUCCACGUGUAGCGGUGAAAUGCGUAGAGAUGUGGAGGAACACCGAUGGCGAAGGCAGCCUUCUGGGCCAACACUGACGCUCAUACACGAAAGCGUGGGGAGCAAACAGG